rnacentral:tRNA from 1 species
GACCACGUAGCUCAGUUGGCAGAGGAUUGGACUAGUAUCCCAAAGGUCGCGGGUUCUAUUCCCACCGUGGCCA